rnacentral:misc_RNA from 1 species
CUGGCCAUGGCCUCUUGAUUUCCCCAUAAGACCAUUACUAUUACACAUUUCAAGAACGCCGGAUAACAUGAGAACAUCCUUAUCAAAAACCUCAAACUUCACACUCCCAUUAAUCCUUAUACUAUCAGUACUAACAAAUGUAGCUUCUUCAGACUUCUUAUCCAACCUAUCCCUCCUAAGAACGAUUGAUGGCCCAUCAGAGUUGACAGAAAUUCUAAUACCAUUUACUUCAAAAAGCAUAUCGGGGUGUAAUGGAAUGUGAUUUACCGUAAGGUACUCAGGAGUUGAGUCAUCAAUCUCACAUUUGCUAACACGAACAAAGAACACUCUUAAAUCAAGCCAAGGUGUUGGUACCUUAAUGCUGGGUUGAUAAGGAGUGUGUCUUGUAGUUGUAUGACCGUUAUCCAACAGCCCAUUUCCUUUACAUGUUUCAUAGGAAUUCUCCA